rnacentral:lncRNA from 1 species
GGAAGGAGGUAGAGUCCAUGCGUUUAGCACCAUGUUGGUAUAGAGACCCAUUCAAAAACGAAAAGGACAGAAUAUGUUCCUGAUUCCUGAAUGAAUUCUUAUGUGAGGCCAGAGGGUGGUAGGACCUGAAAAGCAUGAGAGAGAUGGAGCCUGUGACAGAAGAAAGGUAAAGAAGUGCCAUCUGCUGGCAGAUCCUAGAAGUGCAGGCGGAGGCUCAAGGAAGAUUUGCAGUGCAAGGAAAAAUCAAUAAUGGAGAGAGUGACUGUGAGUGCCUGGAGAUCCUUGAGUCCUUUGGGUAAAGAGUCCCUAGCUCUCAGGCUGGUGAGUGAUGACUAUGAUUGUGCUGAGUGGCUGGAUAUUUUCCACAAUGGGACAUCUACUCAUGGACAGCAACACCAUAAUGUUCUGAUGACACUGAUGGUGCUGAACCUCCCAGGAUGUCCCAGUAGUAGGGAUAUCCAAGGUAAGUGCAAAGGUGUUGUUCCCUAGAUAUUCUAAGCUGAGGAUAAGGUCCCUGGGCUCCCAAGAAGAGGGUGGAAAAGCCCUUUCAGUAUGGAGCAGAGACUGUGGGUAGUACUGUGUGAGAUUCCUUUCUUUUCACAACAAAGUGAGUAUUUGUGGUAAAGGACAGGUAGCUAUAUCCAGUCCCAAAGACACCAAUGCCAUACUCAGGCUAGUCUGGGAUAAAUGUGUGUUUCUGUGUCAAAUAACAAGGUAGUGGGUCUGAGGGGGGACUGUUUGAAGACUGAUCAAGUUCCUAUGAAAGAAUUUCUCUCUCCCCUGGACUACAGAGGCUGUAGCUUUUUAAUUGGUCAGCCCAAUUUUGGUGUUUUCUCUCUCCAAUUGUUCACACAUUUGCCAAAUCCUCUUUUAAAGCUAUAGGUAUCACAAUAUCACUCACCUCCUCACAAAACUUUUGGGGUUUCCCAUUGUCUCUAGGAUAAAUGAUAAAUUCCUCAGCCAUACAUUUCAACCCCAUUUGGGGUUUUCUUAGCAACGAUAUUGGAGUGGUUUCCAAGUUCCUUCUCCAGCUCAUUUUACACAUGUGGCAAACAGGAUUAAGCGGCUUGCCCAGAAUCACACACCUAGUAAGUGUCUGAGGCCAGAUUUGAACUCACAAAGAUGAGUUUUCCUGAUUUCAGAUCACUGUGCCACCUAACUGCCCCCCUACUACAAGAGCUUAGCAUGAAUCCUAAGGUUUAGAUCAGGGAUGACCUUGCCCAAUUCUUUUCCUGUGUCUGUGUGUUCUUAAGCUUUAAUUACUCUCUCUGAUCACAAAGGAAAGAAGGAAUUCCACUCCAGACUGGAAUGCAGACUCCCAAAAGAACUGAGGCUUAGGGAUGAAGUAACAAACCUGUCCAGUGGCCCAGAGGAUAGCAUGUUAGGACAAGCGAACUACUCCAAGAUUGUUUUUUCCCAGUCAGUACUGGACUAUUCCAACCACCAUGGCCCAGUCCACUCAACCCCAAAAUUUGAACUUCUAGGAUUUGAUAUAUUUCCUAUUGCCACUAGCCUUCUGGCUGGGUUUUGUUGUAUUUGAUUAUGAAAGUUGUUGUUGUUGUUGUUGAAUUGUUUCAGUUGUGUCUGACUCUUCAUGAUCCCAUUUGGGGUUUUCUUGGAAAAGAUACUGGAGUGGUCUGCCAGUUACUUCUCCAGCUCAUUUUACAGAUGAGGAAACUGAGGCAUACAGGGUUAAGUGACUUGUCCGUGGUCAUACAGUUAGUAAGUGUCUGAGGCCAGAUUUGAACUCAAGAAGAUGAGUCUUCCUGACUCCAGGACACUCUAUCCACCUAUCUGUCCUAGCACCUAGUAAAAGAGAUUGAAACCUGACAAUUUAGUGAGUUUGAACUCCAGCAUCACAGCAUUCAAAAGCCUGGGUAGACCAGAUGUUACAGCCAGAACGGCAUUGAUGCCCCAAGGAACAAGGAUCAGCCUCUAAGAAUGACCUUCGGGACCCCAGUUCAGCAACGGCAAUUUUGGACGCGAAAUUGAUGAAAACAAUGCCACGUAGGCAGCUAUGGUAGUGCAGUGGAUAGAGUGCUGGGCUUGGAGUCAGGAAGUCCUGAGUUCAAAUCCAUUCUUGGAUACUUACUAACUGUAUGGCCUUGGGCAAGUCACUUACCUCCAUUUGUCUCAGUUUCCUUGUCUGUAAAAUGGAGAAUAAUAGCACCUGCCUCCCAGGGUUGUUGUAAGGAUCAAAUGAGAUAAUAAUUAUAAAAUGCUUAUCACUAUAAAUGUAGGCUAUUACUAUCAUUCUUAUCAAACAAAGCUAAAUUUUGGCCUUAAUCUGUCAGAGAUGCAGGUGGUGUGGGGAAGAAUAUGCCCUGGAGGUAUCAAGGAAAACAUCUAUAUUUUGUUCUUACUAUAUUUUUGAAGUAAAUACCCUUUUGCAAAAGCCAACUGACGUUAGGUCAUUAAGUGGAACUGGGAUGCUUUUCAUGUUCUUAACUAUGGAAAGAACACAGAUGAUGGGAGCUUGACUUGAAGGCAUAGAGAAGAGAUAUCUCCAACACCUUUGGAUAUCUGAGAACCCUAGUGGGGGAGAUAUAGCCUGCCUGGCCUUGAGGAAGUAAGGCCAGGGCAAACAGGCUGCACAGCCGUUGUUGCUCCAUUGUUUUGCUGAGGAGUUGAGUUUUGAACCUAAAUACCAGACUUUUUUAUUUAUUCUCAUUAAAUUUAAUCUGACCAGAUUUAAAGACUCAUUUUUAACUCCAAUCUUCCAGUGAAGCUGUGUGUCCAUGAGAAUGCCCUAAUACCGUAGUCUCUAGUGAAUUAUGUUGAUGUUUCCCCAAAGGGUAGUGGAUAGUAUUCAUAGGAAUGAAUAGACUGCAGCAUCUUCCUAAAUAAUUAUUCGGAAGAAGUAGUAUCAAUUAUAACCAGCAAUUAUGGCAUUGUGAAGAACAAAGUUGUCUGACUGGCACUCACUCCUCACGGUUCCUCCUCCCUUGCAAGAAAGAGGUCCUCCCAGAGCACAUCCAUCUCCUCACACUGAGGACAGUUCAGGUCUUCCCUUUUGAUCUCCAUCUCUACUUCCCUCUCCCUUUGUCAAAAGGUAAAAAUUUUUCCUACUGCUCCCGUUCAAAAAGAUUCAGUUUGCUAGAGAUCAAAGAAAUAAAUUUGGUUUUUGCCAAGGGCA